rnacentral:tRNA from 1 species
GUCCCCGUAGUUAAACGGAUAUAACAAGUCCCUCCUAAGGACUAGUUACAGGUUCGAUUCCUGUCGGGGACACCA